rnacentral:rRNA from 1 species
AUUGAACGCUGGCGGCAGGCCUAACACAUGCAAGUCGAGCGGAGCGGCGGACGGGUGCGUAAUGCCUAGGAAUCUGCCUGUUCGUGGGGGAUAACGUCCGGAAACGGGCGCUAAUACCGCAUCCUAUCAGAUUCGCCUAGGUGGGAUUAGCUAGUUGGUGGGGUAAAGGCCUACCAAGGCGACGAUCCGUAACUGGUCUGAGAGGGUGAUCGGCCACACUGGGACUGAGACACGGCCCAGACUCCUACGGGAGGCAGCAGUGGGGAAUAUUGGACAAUGGGCGAAAGCCUGAUCCAGCCAGGCCGCGUGUGUGAAGAAGGUUUUCGGAUCGUAAAACGCUGUUGGUAGAGAAGCGGUAUCUAACCAGAAAGCAACGGCUAACUACGUGCCAGCAGCCGCGGUAAUAC